GUGGUCACUUGCUGCAAUUAAUUAACGUGUCGGUUUAGCUUGAAACGUGGAACCUUCUCAUCUUUCAGUGUCACCAAAUUUAUUGCUUCAGAGUUUUGUUUUCUUCUCUCAGGAGGAUCAAGGUAUGGGCUCUCUCUCUCUCUCUCACACACACACAGCUCUUGAUCAGAUAUGCAACGAUCAUUUCAGCUGCUGGUCAUCUUCUGAGUUGGAAAGCCGGUAGAAAGUAGUCUCUAUCGAGGAAAGCUGGAAAUUGAAGGGUAUUCAAUAUUUCAACUCAACAAAAUCAGUAGAGGAGGCUAAAGAUGGGCUACGUGUUGGUCAUAUCACUUCCAUUGAUGAUACUCUUCUGCCUGGUACUGGCUAUUGCUUGCUACCUUUUUGGGAGGGCCAGGGGCCGAAGUCAAGCUAUGGGAGCUCCACAGCAAUAUGGGCCUCCUCCACCUCCAAUGCCAGCCCAGGCCCAGGAGAAACCUCAAGUGUAGAAAUGUGAAUAAACUUUUUGUUUGGGCUUGGAGUGCAGAUACUAGAUACUGUCUGUAACUAUAUUCAGGAGAAAAAAAAAAUCUUAUUUUUA